AAGACGCUAGUAAAAUUACCAUUGCAUCACCUUGUCAAGGUGAAAUUGUGGGUGGAACUCCCACGCGUUUUA
rnacentral:tRNA from 1 species